UACGUAGGGUGCGAGCGUUAAUCGGAAUUACUGGGCGUAAAGCGUGCGCAGGCGGUUUUGUAAGCCAGAUGUGAAAUCCCCGGGCUUAACCUGGGAAUGGCAUUUGGGACUGCAAGGCUGGAGUGUGGCAGAGGAGACUGGAAUUCCCGGUGUAGCAGUGAAAUGCGUAGAUAUCGGGAGGAACAUCAGUUGCGAAGGCGGCUCUCUGGACCAGCACUGACACUGAGGCACGAAAGCGUGGGGAGCAAACAGG
rnacentral:rRNA from 1 species